rnacentral:rRNA from 1 species
GUAGUCUGCAACUCGACUACAUGAAGCUGGAAUCGCUAGUAAUCGCGAAUCAGCAUGUCGCGGUGAAUACGUUCCCGGGUCUUGUACACACCGCCCGCCACACCAUGGGAGUCAGCAACGCCCGAAGUCAGUGACCUAACCGAGAGGAAGGAGCUGCCGAAGGCGGGGCAGGUAACUGGGGUGAAGUCGUAACAAGGUAUC